GUUUAAUAAGACUUACAUUAUGGCUAAAACAUUUCCCACAUUCAGGACAUGAAAAAGGUUUUUCUCCUGUGUGAGUUCUCUGGUGACUAACAAGAUGUGAGUCCCGGCUAAAACAUUUCCCACAUUCAGGACAUAAAAAAGGUUUUUCUCCUGUGUGAGUUCUCUGAUGCCUAACAAGAGGUGAGUGACAGCUAAAACAUUUCCCACAUUCAGGACAUGAAAAAGGUUUCUCUCCUGUGUGAGUCCUCUGAUGCCUAACAAGACUUGAAUGACAGCUAAAACAUUUCCCACAUUCAAGACAUGAAAAAGGUUUCUCUCCUGUGUGAGUUCUCUG